CAGUCGCCGCGGGAAUACGAAGGGUGCAAGCGUUAAUCGGAAUUACUGGGCGUAAAGCGUGCGUAGGCGGUGAGUUAAGUCUGCUGUGAAAUCCCCGGGCUCAACCUGGGAAUGGCAGUGGAUACUGGCUCGCUAGAGUGUGUCAGAGGAUGGUGAAAUUCCCGGUGUAGCGGUGAAAUGCGUAGAGAUCGGGAGGAACAUCAGUGGCGAAGGCGGCCAUCUGGGACAACACUGACGCUGAGGCACGAAAGCGUGGGGAGCAAACAGGAUUAGAUACCCCCGUAGUCCCUGUCUCUUAUAC
rnacentral:rRNA from 1 species